AAAAAACUAAAGAUUCUAUCUCUUUCGUUUUAGACUGUCUCUUUAGAGUACUGGCGGUAGAAAUUUUGGUUCUUAACAUUGUUAAUAUUAUAUUAAAUAUUAAUAAAAAAAUAAUACUAAAAUUUAUAAAAAACAGUAAAUAAAAAUUUUAGUUUUUCAUAAUAAAAUAUAGUUAUAAAAAAUAAUAAAGAAAAACAUAUAUGAAAAUGAAAGUAUAAUAUGGAUCUCAAAAUAACAACAAAAAAUAACAAUGAUUAAAUUAUCAGACAAAAUUUAUGAUAAAUUUAAUAUAAAAUAGAAUAAAUAUUCUAGUUAUUGUGGGGAAGAAAAAAAAUAUUUUAUAAUAAUAAAUGAAAAAAAUCUAUUUUUGUUUCUAAAGUCAUGUAAGUGAGGUUGUAGGCAUAUCACUGAAAAAUAGAGAUAAAUAGAAAAUAGCUUUAAGCACUUUAGAACCAUUAAAUUUAAAAAAAGUAUGAUUGGUAAAAAUACUAAAAAUAUGCUUUAUAGGCUAUUUAAUCCCACAGUCUUGACAUCCCUAACCCCAAACAGACUCUAAAUAAACUAGACAAUCAAUCUUCUACAGAUAUAUAAAUAUGUGGUUUAACACAUGACAUGCAAAUUAUCUAGUUGACUUGAACUAUCGUAUAAAACCAUUUCUACGCAAACUUUCCCGAUCAUCUUGGAUCCCCAUCAAAUAAAAUUUGAUAAAAUUAAUCUUGAGAAACCCUCUCAAAUAAAAUGUUCAUCGUGGUACCAAAUAAUCAUAUCCACAUGGACGAGGAUCACACAAUAAACUAUUAGUUUCAGUUAUGAUAGGUCAGAAAUAUUAAAACAGUAAACAAAUCGAUAAAUCUAAACAGUUGUAAGUUAUUAUGAGCAAAACACUAGAUCCAAAAAUUAUCGGACAAUGAAUUCAAAACCAAAAUCAAUAGGUGACACAUGUUUAAUUAGGUUUGAUUCCAUAACUCGAAUGCAACUAGUAAGUUUUCCAACUCUCGCUGCAAAAGACUAUCAGACGUUUAACUCUAAUCAAAUACCAACUCUCAUUUUGAAUUCAAUGAAUCAAGCAAACGUUAGGUCCAAUUCGAUAUAGUUCAACUAAAUACCUAGACUAACUCUAAUUGUGAAUAAGUAUUUAGUCCAACAUGAUUAGGUUUUGUCAAUCGAUUAUACUCUCGUGUCUCUCAAUUGUCGUAUGAUUCUAGGUUCUAGUUAGCUACUUUAUAUCCGUUAGCUACUUUAGAUCAUGCUAUAAUAAACAAUCCUGGUGUAGAAUAAGAUAAGGUUACCCUAGUAUAUCUAUCAAUAAACAGUUCGUCACAAAUCCUAGAAAAUUCCUAAACUAACAUGUUGGUUACUCAGACAUAAUCAUGGAAGACAACAAAUCAAUGAAUAAACUGCAUAUAUAUAGUAGAUAGAAAUACUUGACAAAAAGUAUCUCAGUUGAGUUCUUCUCUUCUCUCCAAUCUCAAACAUAGCUUAGCCUAAACAACAGCUAGAAAAUAGUAAAUAUAGGUUAAAACACGUUCAGAGACUCAUGUGCAAAUACAUGAAACUUUGAGCCAAAUUGCAAUUAUUAAAACUUUAUUAAAUCAUGAGGCGGUUUCCGAACAGGUUGGGUGUCGCUCGACACCACAUCAGAAUCUCGACAGCUUCCUCUUGCGCGUCAGAUAAACUACUCUUUAGUAAAAUACGUGUAACUUUUUUUCUAAACGAUUGAUUGACAUCAAACCGGCGACAGUGGAAAGCUAACUCAAUUUCCUAUAUUGUGCCAAUUAUGAACUUUAUCCAUUGGUGCGAAGAUCUCCAUCCGCUGCUAAACUUCUGACGCAUCUACGCAGUUCUACAGAGUUGGCUAUCGAGCAACACAUAACCUGGUGUUGACCGACUUCAGGCUAGUGUCGAACGAAACCCUGUCCAGAAGUGCAGUUUCAAGAUAAUAUUUUCAAUUUCAGUUCCCUUGAUGCUCCAAAUAGUUCCAAAACCUCCAAUAUGUUCUAAAACGUACCUUAACCUAUAAAGAUCUAAAAUAAACUCCAAACACAUAAUACAGACUUCAAAACCGGACUUAUACCAUGGUAAAAAUCCAUAAAAACCAAGGUAUAUCAACUUCCACAUACAUAUUCUUUUUUUGCCUUCAAACUAAACAUAGAUUGAACAUGUGAAAGAGGUUUGAAAACGUAGGGACUCACUUACUCUUUAAAACCACCACUGUCACCUCUAAAAUGUUGCAAACACAUCAAUACCAAUCUUAUAAGGUACUUCUAUGUACUCAACCGUAGCUUACCAACUAUGUGUCUAACAACAGUAACGGAGGAAAUAUCAGAGAGAAUGUUUAACAAGACCACACCAACAAUCUAAUGCAAAACACAUGUGAAUGCUCUAAUUUAACCAUGUUGGUACCCUAUCAAUCCCAAGAAAGAAAAAUACAAGAGGCCUUACGAGACAUUUCCAGGAUAACAAAGUAGAUUCUCUCCACCACUAGUCCCGGUUUGUGUAUUUGUCAACAGAAACUUCAUAUUCUCCUAAUUUUCAGUUUGGCAAAACAAAAACGACUUCUUAUUCUUCCUAUAAGAUAUACAUAGCACAAGGAAGGAAGAAAUGUCUCUCCUCCACAUGUCCUUGAUGUGACUUAUGUUGGAAAAGUAAAUGAGAGAAUCAAUUCGGACUCUCAAUUCUGUUGUAUGUGAGGAUGGUGUAGAAUAUGAAGGUCUCGUAUGGAAAAAGCUCAUAUGUGGUGAAAAAGUCGAAAUAGAAUCCAAAAACAAUCUUGCGGCCUUCUUAAAAUCUCUAGUGGACAAACAAUACAAACCCUCACAGACUUUUAACAAGUUCCUCCUUUCCAGCCACCUCCUUCUUCAAACAACCUAGCAAUAAUAGAAAAACGAUGUGUUAGACCAAAAUAUCUUCGGUUUAUGCUAACUUAAUUAUAAAACACAAAUGUCACUAACUUCUUUGCUUUAUCAAUGCUCUUUGAAAUCAGAUUUAAACUGAUGUGUUGUAAGUUUUCACCCAACUACUACUGCAAGUGCACAGUGAACUAUUGUAGUAUUUUGGUUAUCAUCCCACAAAGAAUUAGGUUUUAUUUUUGGAUAGAUUCAGGUUCAUUAAGAUAAACUAAAAAGUAUCUAACAAAACAAUGUAAAAUUAAAGUAACUAAAGCAGUGGUUGCAUCAAUAUUAAGAAUCAAUCAAUUUUUAUCCAAAUCCAGAAUCGUAGAUGUCGUUAGGGUUUCGUACAAAGGAACAAUACCUACAAUAAGAGAACGUCCCCAACAUAAGGAAUCAGGAACAUCAAAUAAAAAUGGGUAAAUCGAAUUUCGCAGAAUUACAGUAACGAAGAUACUUCAAAGCUAGCAGAAUGCGAAAGGUACAUAGAGAGAAAGGGAGGGUUCGCUUCAUUUCUAUUCUGGUGACAGAGGAAACUGGAGUGGGUAGGAGAGUCAUGUUUUCUCCCCGUCGGAUCUCGGCUUCGUCGGGAAUAAAUAUCAACCAUUUGUUAUCUGAAUCCUUGACUGACAGAACCCUAGACUUGGUUUCACAGAGAAACACGAAGGCCUAGAGAUAGAGCAUGAUGAGAGUUCGAUGGAAGCAAACAAUGGAGAAAAAGAUCGAGAGAUAGGAGACCUGAGAAGUAUUCAGAGAAAAAGAUCGAGAGAGACGAGAGGAAGGUGUUUGAGAAAAAAAAAUUGACUAGAGAAAAUUUCUCUUGUGUGUCGGUGAUGAAUGAAACGGAUCUAAAUUUUUGGAAAUAACUUUAGCCAAAAAAAUGAGUUUCGCCAAAAUCAGAAAUUUGGCUAAGUGUUUUGGCUCCAAAAUAAACAUCCGGCUAUAUGAUAUAUUUUUAGGUUCCCGCUUAAUGAAAAUAUUUCAUACCACGAAUUUAAUGCUAUGAUACAAUUAGGAUCCAAUUUUGGCACUUUUAGUAGCAGCUAGUGAAUUAGUGCUACAAUGAACUGCUAACAAUGUCUCUAUUUCUUAUAGUGUUAGUUUAUUUUAGAUGCAUACACAGCUACUGAGAAAGAAAGAUUGUGAAUUAUUAAUUUAAACCAAAAGAAACUGUGAGCGGAGAUAGAUAACAAUGUAUGUGACGCUGUGGAGAGCAGUGAUGCAGAUGCCACAAAAAUUGGGAAGACAAUCAUUCUGCCUUCUUCCUUCAGUGCUGUCCCAAGGUAUAUGGCUGAAAAAUAUCUAGACACAAUGGCUAUAUGUUGUUGGUAUGGAAAACCUCAUCUAUGCAUCACCGUCGCAGCAAAUCCAAAUUGGGUGGAGCUCAGACACCAUCUCGGCGCUUAUGGUGGUGAAUCUACUAAUAGUCGACUUCACCUUGAAUGAAAAAUUUUCAAACUAAAACUCAAUGAAAAGAUGUCGGAUUUUUAAAAAGGAGUGUACUUCCCAAAAGCAGGUGCCAGUAAAAAAACUUCUUACAUUGCGAAAGAUAAAAUAAUAUAUUCAAACUCAAUGUUUACACAACUAACAUUUCUCAUAAUUUAUUUGAACCUUUUCGUUGUCUAUACUAUUGAGUUCCAAAAGCGAGGAUUGCAACAUGCUCGUAUUUUGUAUGAAAGGUGUAAAGAAGAAGCAACAGAAGCAAUGAUGAGUAUAUAUGAGUAUAUAUCUGCAUAGAUCCCAGGCAAAGAAGUGGAUCAAGAGUGGGUUGAACUGGUUGAGCACCAUAUGAUUCAUGGCCCAUGUGGUAAAAUAUGUCCAAAAUCACCUUGCAUGGAAACAUAGGAGUGCAUAAAGAAUUAUCCCAAAGCUUUAUUAAAGGGUAGAAAAAUUGACAAGUCUAGAUUUGUCCUCUACAGAAGAAGGCAUGAUCCUAAAUAUUUUUUUUUAUAAAAGGUGACGUCAAACUGGAUAAUCAAUAUGUUGUCCCUCAUAACCUCAGUCUUCUAAAAAAAACAUGCCCAUAUCAUUGUUGAAUGGUGCUGCAGAACAAGCGCGAUUAAAUAUAUCUUUAAGUAAGGUAGUGGAGCGGGGAGAAAAUCAAGCAGAUAUGAUUAAUGAGAUAGAUAUAUUUCAGGAAUGUUACUAAGUUUCUGCAUAUGAGGCCUCGGGAGGUUAUUUGCCUUUUCCAUUCAGCACAACCAGCCUAAUGUUAUUAAGCUGCCACUACAACUACCAGGACAACACCGGAUGGUCUUUGAGCAAUCUUAUAACAUAGCAGAAGUUGUCUUAAGGGAGAACAUUGAAAAAUUAUGUUAGUAUCAUGGUUUGUGGCAUGUGAUACAUAUUAAGAAGCAAGAGAACUUGUAUAUGUUGAAUUCCUACAAGGUUUGUUUAUCACACAUCCGGAAAAUUAUGGACACUUAGGCAGCAAGGCGUAGCCAUAGGCAGAGUGGUUUAUAUCCAUCCAGCGGCCAUGGAUUUAUACUUCUUAAAGAUCCUAAUGAAUGUUGUUAGAGGACCUAGAAGUUCUCACGAUCUAUACAGAGUUGGUGGUGUACUUAUAUAAGAAGUUUAGAGAUGUGUGUUACGCACACAGUUAACUUGAUCAAGACAAAGAAUGGCAUGAUGCUAUAGAAGAACCAUCUUAGGGGGCAAUUGGUCGACGACUAAGAAGAUUGAUUGUGACCAUCUUGAUAUAUUUUCAAGUUAGUAAUCCACUAACACUAUGGGAUCAUACUUGAAAGUUUUUGGGUGAUGACAUCCUUUAAAUGAAACGAAAGGAGUUCAGAUUCAUAGGUUUGGAAUUACAAGACAAGCAACUGAAACAAUAUAUAUUCAUCAAGCUAGAAAAACUCCUAAAGGAGCAUGACCAAUCUAUUGCGGACAACCCUGAUAUCUCAUUGUAUGAUUAAGAUAUCCUAACAGAGAUAUCUAACAUACCUAUACAUGACGAUCAUCUCAAAGCUCAUGUCAGUUGAUAAAGUUUUUAUUCCAGUUGCAUCAGCUGGGAUUGCAACACUACUGCUCCCAAGAAGUAUAACAACUCACUCUUGAUUUAAACUUCCACUUACACUAAGUGAGGAAUCAAUGUGUGAUAUUUAUAGCGGGUAUAUGGUAGCUGAAAGUCAUAUUUAAUAAUAUAAGAUGAAGCUCCAAUGGAAGACCAUCAAGCAUUGAAACACUUGACCAUUCGCUUAAUGAUUUGUUGUAAUGUGAAAAUUCAGUAGCUGCAGACAUACCUUUUGGUGGCAAGACAAUGCUUUUAGGAGGUGUUUUUAGGAAAAUAUUGCAUGUGCCACAAGGAAGACAACCAUAAAUAGUUCUUGCAUACAUCAACAAAUCUUAUAUUUGAAAAAA